GGGCUCAACCUCCGCCCGCCGUUGAAACUGACGGUCUUGAGUGGGCGAGAAGUAUGCGGAAUGCGUGGUGUAGCGGUGAAAUGCAUAGAUAUCACGCAGAACUCCGAUUGCGAAGGCAGCAUACCGGCGCCCAACUGACGCUGAAGCACGAAAGCGUGGGUAUCGAACAGGAUUAGAUACCCUGGUAGUCCACGCAGUAAACGAUGAAUACUAGCUGUCCGGGGCGAAUGAGCCCUGGGUGGCACAGCGAAAGCGUUAAGUGUUCCACCUGGGGAGUACGCCGGCAACGGUGAAACUCAAAGGAAUUGACGGGGGCCCGCACAAGCGGAGGAACAUGUGGUUUAAUUCGAUGAUACGCGAGGAACCUUACCCGGGCUCAAACGGGAGAUGACGCGGGCAGAGACGCCCGUUUCUUAGGACAUCUUCCGAGGUGCUGCAUGGUUGUCGUCAGCUCGUGCCGUGAGGUGUUGGGUUAAGUCUCGCAACGAGCGCAACCCCUGCCGUCAGUAGCCAGCAGGUAAAGCUGGGAACUCUGACGGGACUGCCGGGGAUAACCCGGAGGAAGGCGGGGACGACGUCAAAUCAUCAUGCCCCUUAUGGGCUGGGCUACACACGUGCUACAAUGGCGCCGACAGAGUGAAGCGACCCCGCGAGGGUGAGCAAACCACAGAAACGGCGUCCCAGUUCGGAUUGCAGCCUGCAACUCGGGUGCAUGAAGCUGGAAUCGCUAGUAAUCGCAGAUCAGAAUGCUGCGGUGAAUACGUUCCCGGGUCUUGUACACACCGCCCGUCACACCAUGGGAGUCGGGAAUGCCCGAAGUCAGUGACCCAACCGAAAGGAGGGAGCUGCCGAAGGCGGGAUUGAUAACUGGGGUGAAGUCGUAACAAGGUAGCCGUAA
rnacentral:rRNA from 1 species